rnacentral:rRNA from 1 species
GACCCCGCACAAGCGGCGGAGCAUGCGGCUUAAUUCGAUGAUACCCGUAGAACCUUACCUGGACUUGACAUAUAGGGUCAAGCUAUAGAGAUAUAGUGUGCAUUAGCGCCCUAUACAGGUGGUGCAUGGCUGUCGUCAGCUCGUGUCGUGAGAUGUUGGUUAAGUCCCGCAACGAGCGCAACCCCUGUCCUAUGUUGCCAUCAUUAAGUUGGGCACUCUGAAAGAACUGCCAGUGAUAAGCUGGAGGAAGGUGGGGAUGACGUCAAGUCCUCAUGGCCCUUACGUGUUGGGCUACAUACGUGCUACAAUGGCCGGUACAGAGAGCAGCCACUACGCGAGUAG